GAGGGCAGCAGGGGGGCAUUAGGUGCAAAUGAUUCUUAGACUUUGAAAAGUGGGUAGCAAUGGAUCACGUUCAUCAGGUACACUGAAUUGAUUGAAUUAAAUUGUUUUAGAUGGGUUUCGGAUAAGGAAGAACUUUCUGACCGUAAGAGUUGUUUGUCAGUGGACAUCCCUCCGAAGGUGCUGGACUCUCCUUCCUUGGAGGUUUCUAAUACAAAGGUUGGACGGCCCUCUGUCAUAAAAUCAUGGAGGGGACCCCAAAGGCCAUCUAGUCCAACCCCUGCAAUGCAGGAAUCUCAGCUGAAGCAUCCAUGACAGAUGGCCACCAAACCUCUGCUUAAAAACCUCCAAGGAAGGAGAACCCACAACCUCCCGAGGGAGACGGUUCCACUUCCAAACAGCUCUUCCUUUUCAAAAAGUCCUUCCUGAUGUUGAGUCGGAAUCUCCUUUCUUGUGACUUGAAGCCAUGGGUUCGAGUCCUACCCUCCAGAGCAAGAAGACAAGCUUGUUGCCAUGGGGCAGCCGACUUCAGAUAUUUGAAGAUGGCUAUCAUAUCAUAUCAUGCA